rnacentral:rRNA from 1 species
GACGAACGCUGGCGGCGUGCUUAACACAUGCAAAUCGAACGGAAAGGCCCUGCUUUUGUGGGGUGCUCGAGUGGCGAACGGGUGAGUAACACGUGAGUAACCUGCCCUUGACUUUGGGAUAACUUCAGGAAACUGGGGCUAAUACCGGAUAGGAGCUCCUGCUGCAUGGUGGGGGUUGGAAAGUUUCGGCGGUUGGGGAUGGACUCGCGGCUUAUCAGCUUGUUGGUGGGGUAGUGGCUUACCAAGGCUUUGACGGGUAGCCGGCCUGAGAGGGUGACCGGCCACAUUGGGACUGAGAUACGGCCCAGACUCCUACGGGAGGCAGCAGUGGGGAAUAUUGCACAAUGGGCGGAAGCCUGAUGCAGCAACGCCGCGUGCGGGAUGACGGCCUUCGGGUUAUAAACCGCUUUCGCCUGUGACGAAGCGUGAGUGACGGUAAUGGGUAAAGAAGCACCGGCUAACUACGUG